AUGUCGGAACGGGAAAAGGGCUCAGGAACGCCUCGGCGUCCCCCCUCACCUGCUUCGGGAGGGAAGCGACGUGAGAAGGACCUUCUAGAAGGCGAUGGCAAGCGGAGGAAGGCCUCCCGGGAUAGUUCCAGUACUCAACCACCUCCCGCCUGUCCGCAGUCAGCUGCGGGCCCGAGCCACAUCGGCGAUACAGCGGUGCCUCCUUCGAGUGAAGUAACUUUGGACAAGCUUUCUACCCUUUUGGGUGCUCUAAUUGAAAGAUUAGACCAGCCGGCAGUCCCUCCAGUGUCGGUGGAGACAAACUUCACCUUCCCCCAUUCUGAUGAUGAGGCAGCUGAAGCGCCUCGGUGUCUGCCCGAAGCUGAUCCCCUUGACGACCUCGAUCUGCUUACUGCCCCCGCUACACAGUCAACCGGUGAUUCGGUGGUUGAUGCGGAUUUCCAGAAAGCUCUCGAUGAGUUUGCUGGCCACUUCCGGGGUGAGGAAGAGACAGGUGACCCCUUAUCUGACCGCCUGGCUGGCAUUCUUAAUGCCAGUCUGAGACGUCGGCCCUCUUCUGACGGUGUGAAGCUUACAUGUGAUAAGAUCAAACUCCCGAGUAAUGUACCCAAUUUAAAGGUCCCAGCGACUACUUCUGCCAUCACAAAGGCAAUGAGCGUCGGUGGAAAGCUAGUUGACACUCGGCUGUCACUUACUAAUAAACUGUUGACCAAGGCGUUGGUCCCCAUUGCCUGUUGCAUCAGUGAUAUUGGUGAUAAGAAAGACAAGCCUGUAAACUACUACCUUGAUGGUCUUAAUAACAGCCUGAGGCUACUGACUUCCGCUGUUAACUACAUCAAUCAGCUUCGGAAAGAGGUUGCUCGAACUCAUGUGAAUGAUUCUGCCUUGGCAGAGCUCUGCAAUUGGGAGUGUGAGGUCGGCAAGGAUGAUUUAUUCCCGUUCGAUGUGAUUAAGAAGUGUGAGGAAAUUCACAAAUCCAGGAAACUUGGGCGGCCCACCUUCCGCCCUUACAAAGCUCCUGGAAAACGAUUUGCUUCACCUCGCCAGUUACCCUCACGCCCUCACUCUCAGCAGCCGAGACCACGUCACCAAACAAGGUCUUUUUUAGGCCAGAGGCCUCCCCAGGGGAAGGGGAUGCCGAGACACAGAGCUCACCAGUGAAAGUACCUUUGUAUUAUAUCAAGGGUCCUCCAAAAGCUCCAGGAAGACGAAGCUACAGUGAUGGUGAUUCUUCCUCUAUGGCCGACUCAAGUAUGGUUCCCGACAGCCCUCCGCUUGCUAACGGCACCUCCUGUGCUUCUCCCCCGUCUUCCUCUCGUGCUGCCACAAAAUCCAACUCUCACACAUCCUCGGUCUCAAGUGUUGAUCUUGACAGCGAUGGUAUUAUCAGGGAAUCGUACCAAAGUCGCGGCCUUUCGCCGGAAGUUGCCGGAUUUCUGCUGCACUCCUGGAGGGAGAGCACGAGAGUACAGUAUGGGUCGCAUAUUAAGAAAUGGUUGUCAUUUUGCUUCGGCAGGAAAAUUGAUCUCUUUCAGCCAUCUUCAGCUGACCUUUUAGAUUUCCUCCUUUCCGAAUUUAGGAGGGGUGCAGGUAGGACUUACAGCUCCAUCAACACGUUACGGUCGGCCAUCUCGGCAGUGGCAAGUAUCAAUGGCCAGCCGGCAGGACAACAUCCCUUAGCUACAAGGUUUAUGAAAGCAGUCUUUCAGGUGAGACCGUCCUUACCCCGCUACGGUACGACCUGGGAUCCUCACUUGAUCUUGGAUCACAUCAUAGGUCUUGGGCCCGAUAAAGAUUUGUCCUUGAUUCAGUUAUCAAGGAAGCUAACAAUCCUUAUGUUGCUCCUCUCUGGUCAACGCGGUCAGACUUUACAUAUGUUAGACAUUAGGAACAUGACUGUUUCGGACAGUCGGGUCUCUUUUAGGAUUGGUGAUCCGCUAAAAACUUCUAGGCCAGGUACACACUUGUCAGAAUUGGUUUUCGUAGCCUAUCCCCCAGACAGGAGGUUAUGUGUUGUCACCUCAACGAUGAGCUAUCUAGAACGCACAAACAACAUGCGGGGUUCGCUCACGGGUUUCUUUCUCACAACAAGACCUCCAGUCAAACUGGCUUCACGGGACACAUUACGUCGCUGGACGAAAGAUGUCAUGCGAGCUGCUGGCAUUAAUCUUGGCAUUUUUUCACCUCAUUCUACCAGGUCGGCGUCAGCCAGUAAGGCGGCCCUGCGGCUCCCUUUGUCGACAAUUAUCUCUACUAUUGGCUGGACCAGAGAAUCUACAUUCACGAAGUACUACAGGAAGCCCAUAAUUGAUGCUGGACUGACGUGGAGCUGGUGAAGCGGGCAUCUCGUUUACUACCUCAGUGACGCAGUUAAAUGUUCGUGAAAUUACGAUCAAACAUCAUACUUGGUAAGUAUUCGUUUAAUCUCCCAAUUUCACUUCACGACUAUUUAACUGACGUCACCGGUAGUCAACGAGAUGCCCGCUUCACCAGCUCCACGCCAGUUCGCUGCUAGUCUCCACACAGUCCACACCUCAACGCUGUCUGCUGUUCCGCUCGUCGACCACCUGGCUUCUGUUCACCGGCUUUCUCUUAGGAGUCAGCCUGGUAAGCCUUCACCCGCUACAGCAGGGUGUUAGCUGUAUGGUGAUUCCACAUAUAUGAUCUAAGGACGUAUAUGUUGGCUCUUGUGUUUCCUUCCCGUUUUCCGUUCUUUCUAGACGUGAGAUGUCGGAACGGGAAAAGGGCUCAGGAACGCCUCGGCGUCCCCCCUCACCUGCUUCGGGAGGGAAGCGACGUGAGAAGGACCUUCUAGAAGGCGAUGGCAAGCGGAGGAAGGCCUCCCGGGAUAGUUCCAGUACUCAACCACCUCCCGCCUGUCCGCAGUCAGCUGCGGGCCCGAGCCACAUCGGCGAUACAGCGGUGCCUCCUUCGAGUGAAGUAACUUUGGACAAG